rnacentral:rRNA from 1 species
UACAGAGGUCCCAAGCGUUGUUCGGAUUCACUGGGCGUAAAGGGUGCGUAGGCGGGUCUUUAAGUCAGGGGUGAAAUCCUGGAGCUCAACUCCAGAACUGCCUUUGAUACUGAGGAUCUUGAGUUCGGGAGAGGUGAGUGGAACUGCGAGUGUAGAGGUGAAAUUCGUAGAUAUUCGCAAGAACACCAGUGGCGAAGGCGGCUCACUGGCCCGGUACUGACGCUGAGGUGCGAAAGCGUGGGGAGCAAACAGG